GGUCCCGUGGUAAAGCGGUUAAUACACCACCCUUUCACGGUGGUAUCAUGGGUUCGAAUCCCGUCGGGAUCACCA
rnacentral:tRNA from 1 species